UACGUAGGGGGCAAGCGUUGUCCGGAAUUACUGGGCGUAAAGCGCGCGUAGGCGGACCUGCAAGUCGGGGGUGAAAGCCCGAGGCUCAACCUCGGAACUGCCUUCGAUACUGCGGGUCUCGAGUCCGGGAGAGGUGAGUGGAAUUCCUAGUGUAGAGGUGAAAUUCGUAGAUAUUAGGAAGAACACCAGUGGCGAAGGCGGCUCACUGGCCCGGUACUGGACGCUGA
rnacentral:rRNA from 1 species